rnacentral:rRNA from 1 species
AUAAACGCUGGCGGCGUGCCUAACACAUGCAAGUCGAACGCGCACGGAGCGAUCUGUGUGAGUGGCGGACGGGUGAGUAACACGUGGGUACCUACCCUGUGGUGAGGAAUACCGGCGAGAAAUCGCCGACAAUACCGCAUAGGUUUGCGGCAACGCAAACAAAGCUCGCGCAAGCGGGCGCCAGAGGAAGGGCCUGCGGCCGAUUAGCUAGUUGGUAGAGUAAAAGCCUACCAAGGCAACGAUCGGUAGCUGGUCUGAGAGGAUGAUCAGCCACACUGGGAUUGAGAACGGCCCAGACUCCUACGGGGGGCAGCAGUGAGGAAUUUUCGUCAAUGGGGGAAACCCUGAACGAGCAACGCCGCGUGCAGGAAGACGGCCUUCGGGUUGUAAACUGCUUUUCUGUGGGACGAGAACGGACGGUACCAUAGGAAUCAGCCCCGGCUAACUACGUGCCAGCAGCCGCCGUAAGAC